GGCGAACGCUGGCGGCGUGCCUAAUACAUGCAAGUAGAACGCUGAAGGAGGAGCUUGCUUCUCUGGAUGAGUUGCGAACGGGUGAGUAACGCGUAGGUAACCUGCCUGGUAGCGGGGGAUAACUAUUGGAAACGAUAGCUAAUACCGCAUAAUAGUAGAUGUUGCAUGACAUUUGCUUAAAAGGUGCAAUUGCAUCACUACCAGAUGGACCUGCGUUGUAUUAGCUAGUUGGUGAGGUAACGGCUCACCAAGGCGACGAUACAUAGCCGACCUGAGAGGGUGAUCGGCCACACUGGGACUGAGACACGGCCCAGACUCCUACGGGAGGCAGCAGUAGGGAAUCUUCGGCAAUGGACGGAAGUCUGACCGAGCAACGCCGCGUGAGUGAAGAAGGUUUUCGGAUCGUAAAGCUCUGUUGUAAGAGAAGAACGAGUGUGAGAGUGGAAAGUUCACACUGUGACGGUAUCUUACCAGAAAGGGACGGCUAACUACGUG
rnacentral:rRNA from 1 species